AGAGUUUGAUCCUGGCUCAGGAUGAACGCUGGCGGCGUGCCUAACACAUGCAAGUCGAGCGGCAGCGCGAGUAGUUUACUACUUGGCGGCGAGCGGCGAACGGCUGAGUAACGCGUGGGAAUUUGCCCCAAAGUGAGGAAUAACUGCCCGAAAGGGUGGCUAAUGCCGCAUAUGAUCUUCGGAUUAAAGGAUUUAUCCGCUUUGGGAGAAGCCCGCGUCGGAUUAGGUAGUUGGUGAGGUAAUGGCUCACCAAGCCGACGAUCCGUAGCUGGUCUGAGAGGAUGACCAGCCAGACUGGAACUGAGACACGGUCCAGACUCCUACGGGAGGCAGCAGUGAGGAAUCUUCCACAAUGGGCGAAAGCCUGAUGGAGCAACGCCGCGUGCGGGAUGAAGGCCUUCGGGUUGUAAACUGCUUUUAUGAUUGAGGAAUUUGACAGUAGAUCAUGAAUAAGGAUCGGCUAACUACGUGCCAGCAGCCGCGGUCAUACGUAGGAUCCGAGCGUUAUCCGGAGCGACUGGGCGUAAAGAGUUGCGUAGGCGGUUUGUUAAGUGAAUAGUGAAAUCUGGUGGCUCAACCAUACAGGCUAUUAUUCAAACUGGCAAACUCGAGAGUGGUAGAGGUCACUGGAAUUUCUUGUGUAGGAGUGAAAUCCGUAGAUAUAAGAAGGAACACCGAUGGCGUAGGCAGGUGACUGGACCAUUUCUGACGCUAAGGCACGAAAGCGUGGGGAGCGAACCGGAUUAGAUACCCGGGUAGUCCACGCCGUAAACGAUGGAUACUGGCUGUUGGAGGUAUCGACCCCCUCAGUAGCGAAGCUAACGCGUUAAGUAUCCCGCCUGUGGAGUACGGUCGCAAGACUAAAACAUAAAGGAAUUGACGGGGACCCGCACAAGCGGUGGAUCGUGUUCUUUAAUUCGAUGCUAAACGAAGAACCUUACCAGGGCUUGACAUCCAGGGAAUUUUUGGGAAACCAAUUAGUGCCUUUUGGAACCCUGUGACAGGUGAUGCAUGGCCGUCGUCAGCUCGUGUCGUGAGAUGUUUGGUUAAGUCCAUCAACGAGCGCAACCCUUGCAACUAGUUGGAUUUUUCUAGUUGGACUGCUUCGGUAACGGAGAGGAAGGAGGGGAUGAUGUCAGGUC
rnacentral:rRNA from 1 species